rnacentral:rRNA from 1 species
AACGCUAGCUACAGGCUUAACACAUGCAAGUCGAGGGGCAGCAUGAACUUAGCUUGCUAAGUUUGAUGGCGACCGGCGCACGGGUGAGUAACACGUAUCCAACCUGCCGAUGACUCGGGGAUAGCCUUUCGAAAGAAAGAUUAAUACCCGAUGGCAUAGUUCUUCCGCAUGGUAGAACUAUUAAAGAAUUUCGGUCAUCGAUGGGGAUGCGUUCCAUUAGGUUGUUGGCGGGGUAACGGCCCACCAAGCCUUCGAUGGAUAGGGGUUCUGAGAGGAAGGUCCCCCACAUUGGAACUGAGACACGGUCCAAACUCCUACGGGAGGCAGCAGUGAGGAAUAUUGGUCAAUGGGCGAGAGCCUGAACCAGCCAAGUAGCGUGAAGGAUGAAGGCCCUAUGGGUCGUAAACUUCUUUUAUAUGAGAAUAAAGUGGAGAACGUGUUCUCCUUUGUAUGUAUCAUAUGAAUAAGGAUCGGCUAACUCCGUGCCAGCAGCCGCGGUAAUACGGAGGAUCCGAGCGUUAUCCGGAUUUAUUGGGUUUAAAGGGAGCGUAGGUGGAUAUAUAAGUCAGUUGUGAAAGUUUGCGGCUCAACCGUAAAAUUGCAGUUGAUACUGUAUAUCUUGAGUACAGUAGAGGUGGGCGGAAUUCGUGGUGUAGCGGUGAAAUGCUUAGAUAUCACGAAGAACUCCGAUUG